rnacentral:rRNA from 1 species
GAUGAACGCUAGCGGCAGGCCUAAUACAUGCAAGUCGAACGGUAAGUUUUCUUCGGAAGACACGAGUGGCGCACGGGUGAGUAACGCGUACGCAAUCUACCUCUAUCAGGGGGAUACACACGGGAAACUGUGGAUAAUCCCGCAUACAAUUCAUUACUGGCAUCAGUGGUGGAUAAAAGCUACGGCGGAUAGAGAUGAGCGUGCGUCUGAUUAGCUAGUUGGUGAGGUAACGGCUCACCAAGGCGACGAUCAGUAGGGGGCGUGAGAGCGUGAUCCCCCCACACGGGUACUGAGACACGGACCCGACUCCUACGGGAGGCAGCAGUAAGGAAUAUUGGUCAAUGGGCGGAAGCCUGAACCAGCCAUGCCGCGUGCGGGAAGAAGGCCCUCCGGGUUGUAAACCGCUUUUGUCAGGGAAGAAUGGACGGGAUUUAUCCUGUUAGGGACGGUACCUGAAGAAUAAGCACCGGCUAACUCCGUG